UUAGUAGUUCUUCCCUAGUCAAAUCUGAUCUUUAUUAAUUUGGAAGGAAACCAUAUAUUUUUACCCCUGUGGAAUCAAAAGCAUAUUUUCCCCAAAUAUUAUAUAUUUGAAUAUUAUAUUCAAAUUCAGAAUAUUACACAUUCUGAAGCUAAGACAUCUUAAAGAUGCCCAAAGAUAAAACCUCAGCCAACUAAAAAUAUACUAAUGUAACUGAAGCUUAAUUAACUAAUUAUAUCUGAGAUAAUCUCACUGUUCCUGAAACUCCCCUUAGUUGUGUUUAAAAAGAACCUACACGUUCCUCUCAGGGUCAUUGCAUUUUUAGACAGGUGAAAGACAACUCAUACAUUCUGGUAUUUUCUUAUUAGGUAUAAUAAAGGCUCUUUGUUCUUACAUACUAUUUGAGUUUGGGGUGUUCCUUCAGUGUUUUCUUGGGCCAUACAUUUGGUGCAUUGGCCAGGAACACUGAGAAUCCCCCAACUCAUUAGUGGAACAUUCUAGGAGAGCACAUUCUGUUCUCCACUUAUUGGUGAGUCUGGGUGUGUCUUGUGUCUUUGUUCUGGUUUGGUAACUGGACAAAGGAAAAAAAACUGGGGCAAGUCUGAAGACCUACUGAGGAAGGCCAGAUGUGUCAUUAAUUUCUUGCUGAUUGUGGAAUCUGAGGAUGCUCAGAAUUCUAUUCUGGUGUAAAUGGGAAGGUUCCCAUCUAUUGGAGUUAGGAAACUCCAAUCUGGUUAUGGUGGCCUUUUUUAUGUCUAUUUGCACAAGCUUGGGCAAGUCCAGAUGUGAACCAGAAGGGGGGCUGUAGGACUUGUCCCGGAGACACUAUGGGCUGACUGCAGGCCUUGCUCAUGUUCUUUCCCUUAGCCCUUUGUUGGGAAAGACACCUGUUUGCUCCUCUCAGAAAACUGAAACAUAAAUUCAGAUGUAGAAAUGGGAGAGUUUAAUCCCUUCAGUAGGCAUUGGCCAUGCAACUGUCUUUGAGUUCUUUGUUUCUGCAAAUAACCCCUUAAGCAUAUUCCUCUAUGGAACUUCAGUAAAACACAUUGGUUCAUCAAGUCAGACUUUGUGGUAUCUAUGCUUUGGUUUGUCAUGGACUCCCUAUCUGUGUUGAGUAGAGCUGUGUGUUGUGUCUCCCUAGGAAAAGUCUUGUCACACAACAGCAUGACAUGCUGGUGCCUUACUGUGGUGGAUGAAGACUCUUGGCAGAUAUGAAAUGUAUUUCAGACUCAGGAAUCUGAGCAGAGAUCAGCAGCCUCUGCUCUGAAAUUACAGUAACAUUAUGAAGGAAGACAGUGCAGAAUGUUGGCUUGUACCUGCUGAGAAGAAUCUCUUUGCUUUCUAAAAGAUGAUAUGAGACCAAAUAGAAGGAGCAGUCUGUGUCCAGCUGGUGUUGCUAAAAGACAGGGAACAAGAGAAGCAUGACUCCUGUGGCUACUUGAGAAGAUCUAAGACUAUAGCAUACUAGACAACACAUAAUGGAGUCCUAGAAUGAAGGAGAUUCACAGAAUGGCCACAAGCCCAGAGCAUUGCCCUUUAUCCAUAGGCACACCACCAGGACAUGCAUCCCCCACCCCCUGAUGUACACCCUUACAAAGUAUAGGUUGCAUGCUAUUUGUACUCAUUGGAUAAUAGCACAAUAGUUGAUUGGAUAAUAUAUGCAUAUAUGCCAAUGAACAUCCACAUUAAACUAGAUCUGCACCCAGUGUUGGUCUCCAGAGUCUGAUUCCCAGGUAACUUAUUAUGAGUCCAUUGCCCUUAUGCCCCAAGCUGUCAGUGCAACACCCCAACACCAAAUGAUAAUGAGUACAUUGAUAUUUUAAUGAUUUUUUAAAUAAUUCAAGUAAGAAUAAGAAUAAAGGAAGUUCAUUCUUUUGUGUGCACUGUA